GGGCACGACACCGGAGAGGGAGCCUGAGAAACGGCUACCACAUCCAAGGAUGGCAGCAGGCGCGCAAAUUACCCAAUCCCGACACGGGGAGGUAGUGACAAUAAAUAACAAUACGGGGUUCUUUAGGAUCUCGUAAUUGGAAUGAGUACAAUUUAAAUCUCUUAACGAGGAACAAUUGGAGGGCAAGUCUGGUGCCAGCAGCCGCGGUAAUUCCAGCUCCAAUAGCGUAUAUUAAAGUUGUUGCAGUUAAAAAGCUCGUAGUUGAAUUUCGGGGUUAGUAGGUUGGUCAUGCCUCUGGUAUGUACUGGUCUCACUGAUUCCUCCUUCCUUAUGAACCGUAAUGCCAUUAAUUUGGUGUUGCGGGGAAUUUGGACUGUUACUUUGAAAAAAUUAGAGUGUUUAAAGCAAGCUAACGCUUGAAUACAUUAGCAUGGAAUAAUGAAAUAGGACGUUCGAUCUUAUUUUGUUGGUUUCUAGGAUUGACGUAAUGAUUAAUAGGGAUAGUUGGGGGCAUUAGUAUUCAAUUGUCAGAGGUGAAAUUCUUGGAUUUAUUGAAGACUAACUACUGCGAAAGCAUUUGCCAAGGAUGUUUUCAUUAAUCAAGAACGAAAGUUAGGGGAUCGAAGACGACCAGAUACCGUCGUAGUCUUAACCAUAAACUAUGCCGACUAGGGAUCGGAUGAUGUUAAUUUUUUAAUGACUCAUUCGGCGCCUUACGGGAAACCAAAG
rnacentral:rRNA from 1 species